CGGGGCAACCUGGUGAGUAAAGUGGCGCACGGGUGAGUAACACGUGGGUGAUCUACCUUUUUGUGGGGAAUAACCCUGGGAAACCGGGGCUAAUACCGCAUAAGCCCGAGAGGGGAAAGCAGAAAUGCGCAGGAAGAGGAGCCCGCGGCCGAUUAGCUAGUUGGUAGGGUAAAGGCCUACCAAGGCAGAGAUCGGUAGCCGGCCUGAGAGGGCACACGGCCACACUGGCACUGAAACACGGGCCAGACUCCUACGGGAGGCAGCAGUGGGGAAUCUUGCACAAUGGGGGAAACCCUGAUGCAGCGACGCCGCGCGAGCGAUGAAGCCCUUCGGGGUGUAAAGCUCUUUCGGCAGGAACGAUAAUGACGGUACCUGCAGAAGAAGCUGCGGCUAACUACGUGCCAGCAGCCGCGGUAAUACGUAGGCAGCAAGCGUUGUUCGGAGUUACUGGGCGUAAAGAGUGUGUAGGCGGUUUUCUAAGUUCGGUGUGAAAUCUCCCGGCUCAACUGGGAGGGUGCGCCGAAGACUGGGAGGCUUGAGUGCGGGAGAGGAAAGCGGAAUUCCUGGUGUAGCGGUGAAAUGCGUAGAUAUCAGGAGGAACACCUGCGGUGUAGACGGCUUUCUGGACCGUAACUGACGCUGAGACACGAAAGCGUGGGUAGCAAACAGGAUUAGAUACCCUGGUAGUCCACGCCCUAAACGAUGCAUACUUGGUGU
rnacentral:rRNA from 1 species